AGAGUUUGAUCCUGGCUCAGGAUGAACGCUGGCGGCGUGCUUAACACAUGCAAGUCGAACGAAGUCAUUUUUCGAUUCUUCGGAAAAGGAAAAUGACUGAGUGGCGACGGGUGAGUAACGCGUGGGAAACCUGCCUUAUACCGGGGGAUAGCAGUUGGAAACGACUGGUAAAACCGCAUAAGCGCACGGGUACGCAUGUAUCUGUGUGAAAAACUCUGGUGGUAUAAGAUGGUCCCGCGUCUGAUUAGGCAGUUGGCGGGGCAACGGCCCACCAAACCGACGAUCAGUAGCCGACCUGAGAGGGUGACCGGCCACAUUGGGACUGAGACACGGCCCAGACUCCUACGGGAGGCAGCAGUGGGGAAUAUUGCACAAUGGAGGAAACUCUGAUGCAGCGACGCCGCGUGAGUGAAGAAGUAUUUCGGUAUGUAAAGCUCUUUCGGCAGGGAAGAUAAUGACGGUACCUGCAGAAGAAGCACCGGCUAAAUACGUGCC
rnacentral:rRNA from 1 species